rnacentral:rRNA from 1 species
GUAGGGAAUAUUGGGCAAUGGAGGCAACUCUGACCCAGCCAUGCCGCGUGCAGGAAGACGGUCCUCUGGAUUGUAAACUGCUUUUGAAUGGGAAGAACAUACGGUUUGCGAACCGUACUGACGGUACUAUUAGAAUAAGCACCGGCUAACUCCGUGCCAGCAGCCGCGGUAAUACGGAGGGUGCAAGCGUUAUCCGGAUUUAUUGGGUUUAAAGGGUGCGUAGGCGGCCUUAUAAGUCGGUGGUUAAAGGUAGCAGCUUAACUGUUUUACAUGCCAUCGAUACUGUAGGGCUUGAGUGAUUUGGAGGUAGCUAGAAUUCCCUGUGUAGCGGUGAAAUGCAUAGAUACGGGGAGGAAUACCGAUUGCGAAGGCAUGUUACUACGAAUUAACUGACGCUGAGGCACGAAAGCGUGGGGAUCAAACAGGAUUAGAAACCCCAGUAGUCC